CAUGCAAGUCGAACGAUGAAGCCAGCUUGCUGGUGGAUUAGUGGCGAACGGGUGAGUAACACGUGAGUAACCUGCCCUUGACUCUGGGAUAAGCCUGGGAAACCGGGUCUAAUACUGGAUACGACCUCCGGCCGCAUGGUCUGGUGGUGGAAAGCUUUUUUGUGGUUUUGGAUGGACUCGCGGCCUAUCAGCUUGUUGGUGGGGUAAUGGCCUACCAAGGCCACCACUGGUAGGCGGCCUGAGAGGGUGACCGGCCUCACUGGGACUGAGACACGGCCCAGACUCCUACGGGAGGCAGCAGUGGGGAAUAUUGCACAAUGGGCGCAAGCCUGAUGCAGCGACGCCGCGUGAGGGAUGAAGGCCUUCGGGUUGUAAACCUCUUUCAGUAGGGAAGAAGCGAAAGUGACGGUACCUGCAGAAGAAGCGCCGGCUAACUACGUGCCA
rnacentral:rRNA from 1 species